rnacentral:lncRNA from 1 species
UUGGUAGCCUGCUGAACAGGGGACUCCAGCCCAACCAAGCCCAAUUACCCCACAGAAAAACGCCCGGCCUAGAGACAUCGAGCGGCCUUCCCCGUCUCCCCGUCGUCUCCUCCACUCAACAACUCGCGCGAGCGAGAGGCAACGCCCGCUCUUGCAGGAAGCAGCCGCUGCCGUCGGGCCGCUGCUGAAGCUCCUGGCUCCCGCGCGACCUCCUCCAAGAACCAGGUCCAUGUGCGCCUCCUCCACCCCUUCUCCCUAUCUCAUCCGAAUCCGAAUCCUCCCGUUCCCCAUCUCAUCUCCCUUUCCUUGCUAGGGUUCUGCUCCGGCGACAGCUAGGUUCUACGGCGGCGAUUUUGCUAGAUCUAUAAGCGUAUCUCCCUCCACUCAACUAGGGUUUAUGCUCACCUCUCCGCCUGUAGAUCUUGAGGCUACCAGGCGGCUGUAGUCUCCUCCCCACUCCCGCAUCCGCCGUGAAGCGCCACCGUUGGCUCGCAUCACCACCAUAGACUGCAUGGGUGAGCCUUCUUUUGCUAGUUCUUUCUUUACUUGAUAAUUAGGUGGAGUACACCAUGGGUAAGUUUUGUUGGCCUUUCUUGUACUCGAGAUUAUAUUUGAGAAAUCAAGUAUCUAGAAAUUGCUAUUGUAGAGCACGUGAUUUGCUGAUUCGCUGUAGCUGGUCUCUUGGGAAUUCAUUCUAUCAAGUAUGGUCUGUUUGUCUUCCCAGAACAUUCUUUUAUGUAGAAACUAGAUUUAUUUUUCUAACAAAUGGAAAUAGGAUGCCCUAGUUUGAAAGGGAUUGAUCUGUUAGUUACUGAAUUUUAUGGGUUUGUAGCCAUUGCGCUUGUGUUUAGGGAUCUAUCACGCGUUAUGUCUUGGGAAUUUGUUCCGGGAGUCCCUAUGCUUUUGAUCUGUCGAUUCAUUGUUAAUUUAUUCAGAAGCUAUAAGAGAUGUGUGCCGCAAAUUUUGAUAAGCUAUAUCUAAUCCUUUCAAUCCUGCGACCAAUUUAUAUUUUUUUGUCAGUAGCACUAGGUGGUGCCAUCAGUGAAUUUUGGUGAUCAUUAUUAAUAAAACUUCAUUGAAGACUUUUUAAUUAGAAUAACUAUAACUGUUAAUUGAGUUUGUACUCCGAAGUCUAAAUAUUAACAUUAUCUUCCUAGUCUCUGCACAUCACGUCCAGGACAUUGGGCAUGAGCUCUAUAACACUUUAUAAAAUUUUCUUAUAAUUUUUUUACUUGUAUGCACAGUGCACACCACAUUCAAGAAGAUUAGAGUUCAGAAAAUGAUCCUACUAGCAAACUUUUGUCCCGUGUUGAAGAAGUUACUAGCAAACUUGUGGUAAUAGCUUCUUCAGUUCAGCUGCUCGGCUAGUUUUUCUUCUUUGAAUUUCUAACUGUUCAGUUCAGAGCAGCUCAACAUAGGUUCAUUUCUAUGAAGGGUCUUUUUUAAAGUAUAAUGUUGCAAUAGUGAUUAACUCUACCUAUUCUUUGCCCAUAGGAGGGCUAUAGUAGUAAUGGUUCAUUCUUUGGUGUUGUAUUUGCCUUUUUGACGAGUUUCAGUUUAAUAGUAUCAAAUAUAUAUUAAAUUCAUAGUUUCCUGCUUAUUAAGAAUGAAUUAAGGUGGGCUUGCUGCUCCUGCUAUUCUCUUAGUUUGUUUGUUUGUUUGUCAAGCUACUACUGCUUGUGCUACUAGUGGCAGUUAGCUGUUUUUUUCAUGUCAAGUUACAAGUUUUAUUCAUUACAAAUAAACUACUCUAGAAAACUACGGUACAAUAUCCAAUUCUUCUGUUACUUGCAGCUUUAAUGUUGGAUGCAUCUAGUGUUUGGUUUUAUUUAUGAGUUAGGCUGAAGCCAUAUUUCCAUAUGAUAUUUGUACUUGUUGGAGGAGGAAGAAGAGGAUGAUGAGCUAUCCUUUGUAUUUGUUGAUGCUAUAUUCUGUAUCUGCUUUAUUGUUUGUCAAGCUACUGCUGCCGGUGCCACUAGUGUCUAGUGGUAGUUAGAUGGUCAACACCAUUUCCCUACUUGAUCGGCAUAUUUGAUAUGAUGCAUUCUAGAAUGUGCUACUGCUUGAUAUAAUAUGACUUGAUACAAUUUUAUGCAUAUUGGUUAUAACUAGGGUUUUUUGUUAUUUUCUUUUUCUGAACUGGCACAGAUAUGCCAAGUAUCGUGAUCUAUUUUUCUAUCUUCUUGGUUUGACAUUCGGACUUUUUUGUCUUCUUGUUUGACAUUCAGACUUUUUUAGCUUCAAUUGUGGACAUGAUCAUAUAAAAGUGAUUCACCUCUAUUGGGCAACGGCUUUUGGAGGCUGAUGCAAUCUUUUAAUUGCUGGUUUUGAUUGUUUUGAGUUGCAUGUACUAUAUAGAAGUUACAUGGUGUGAAUCAAUUUAGCCGUCGUUUCAUUCUAACCGUGUUGGUGCUGGUCGAGAUGGAUUAAACUUACAUGGAAUAGCAUCUACUUGUUACUCUUGAAGACCAUGGAGCAACGAUUAUGCUAUUUUGGAUGAUAUAUUGACAUUAUAUGCAUUAAUUUUAUGUGAAGACCCUGAAGAUUAAUGACAUUUGUCAGUUUCGUCAGCAAAGGAAACAGAGCAAGUAAGCGGGAAGCAGAAGAAGGCUUCGUAAUUGCGUCAACCUUCAUGGCAGCACUCAUCAGCACCUAGUUCUAUGUAAUCGAGCUACCAUCUACUGGCUUAUUCAUGUUCUUGUUCUUAGUCGUGUUGUUCUUAUUUUGUUUUACUCAAAUUUUGUCCUCAAAUUCACUGUAUCAUGUUAUUCAAAGGACAGGGGAUUAUAUUGUUGCUAUGUUUAUAUCCUGAUAAAAUGUACUUCCUCCGUUCCAAAUCAGAAGUCAUUCCAACUUUCCUGGAGAGUCAAAUCAUUUUAUAUUUGACCAAAAUUAUAAAGAGGAUCACAAAUGUUACUAUGAAAAUAUAUUUAAUGAAAAAACUAAGGGCAAGUACAUUGGUGUCGUCUAACAGGCGGUCUCAUGCAUUGACACGUAAUCUUGAAACGAUUUAACAGGCAACCCGUACAAUGGGUUGUCUUAUAAGUUGUCUGGUAGUGGUAUAUAAUUCCUUAAUUUGUUCAUAAGAAAAAUAAAAUAUUAUGAGUUGCAUGGCAACAAUAACUCGUACAAUGGUUGUUAAGUUGUCUCGUAGUCCUACAAUUUAGCUCAUGAGGUGGUUGUUUCGCGA